CUGACCUCCCAUCCGCCCAUCUUUUUACACGUUUACCUUUGAUUCUUUCUUUGCUUAUUUGCAGGCUCUUUGCCAGGCGCUGGGAGAUCAGGGGUGAUUCACGCGCCCUGCCCACAGCGGGCUUGCAGUCUAGUGCUCAAGAUACUCUUGUCCACAACCAGCUGUGAUACAAAGCAAAUACAGCCAGUGCUCCAAUCAAGUGCGGUGGGAGGGUCAUAGUCACCACAAAAUGAUGAAAAUUACUUUUUAUUCAGCGCCUACUAUAUGUCCAUUAUCCCACAAGGGAAGAAGGCCUGGACUGCGCUUCUCACUCCCAACCCACCUCCACGCUGAUCUGUCUUCCUGACCCAGCACCUGCAGAGCUAACUCUAACCCACUGGCGCACCACCUGCAAGCUACACCAACCUCCGUUGAGACCAUUCAUUUACAGCACAUGCCCAGGCAGCCUGACAAAGGACAACGGUGACCCCCUACCAAGGACACAUGCUGGACAAGCAGAAAAUUGGGCAAUCGUUUAGGAUAGCCUAAUGAAAACUUAAGCAAUGAGGAUGUGCCUCUCCAACAGUACACGGGUGCAAGUUAUCCAAACCUCAAUGUCCUUAUUCCUCCAUAUGGCUUUGGUUUUCUCCUCUAGCCCUCUGGUGAAGAGUUCCUGAGUCCAGGAAUGGGUGCAACAGUGGUGGGUUUGGAGUAAGCGUGGUCCCACUCCUUGACCACUGGAUGGGCAUCGGCCCAUGCCUCUCCUGGGGAUGAUAGGACAGCGAGCGCACCAAGUGGCAAAAUGUCAGGUGCAGGCGGUGGCUAGCAGUUGCUGCACUCGAGAGUUAUUGCUUCCUGAUGAGGCCCAGAGAUUCGACUGAGGUAAUUCCAAAGCCCUCCACUUUUCAUAGAGGGGGUCUAACAUUUCAGCAUUAGGUAUGUGCAGGUGCUAUUAGUGAGGGAAGAAAAAAAAAAUGUGUUGUACUGGAGUGGCCUGAGACUUGGUGUCAAUCUUUCUUAAAUCUUGGUGGCCCAAACCUGAGAUACGCUGCUAUUCUAAAACACCUUGCAGUUUUCCCAUUUAUGUUUUGAACAGAGACUGCUCUUUUGUCUCAGAAAAUCCCUUUGCAAUGCUUGAGUGUUCUUUUUGGUUCAGUGAAGGCAAAGGCCAUCUUUUAUAGUGGAAUGGACCCAUGGGACACAGCUCAAGUGCUGUGCAUAAUAAUGCCAUGGUAGACUAUUUUUUAAGUUAACCGGGAGUCCAGCCUGAAAUAGGUCGGAGUAGAGGUGGAGAGAAAAUUCUCUUCUGUUGGUGGCUUGUAAAAGAGUGGAGAGAUGACCUUGAGGGGAGUAAAGUCCUUCUGGGAGGCACUGAGCAAUGGACUACGGAUGAUAAUAGCCACUUCUAAAUCUUCUGGUCUUUGCUUUCCAAAUUACCCAGAGAGGGGCCACACAGCGGUCUUGUUCUACAUUCCCAUCAUAGCUUAAAGCAAACUUUCACAAUGUUCAGAGCCCAUGAUGGCCUGCAGAUGAAGAAGGAGGAUGUCCUCCAAUUCCUUGCAGCAGGAACCCACUUAAGUGGCACUAACCUUGACUUCCAAAUGGAACAGUGCACCUACAAAAGGAAAAGUGAUGGGAUCUACAUCAUAAAUCUGAAGAGAACCUGAGAGAAGCUUCUGCUGGCAGCUUGUGCCAUUGGAGCCUUGAAAACCCAGCUGAUGUCAGUGUCAUAUCAUCUGGGAAUACUGGCCAGAGAGCUGUGCUGAAGUUUGCUGCUGCUACUGGAGCCACUCCCUGCUGCUGGCUGCUUCACCCCUGGAAACUUCACUAAGUAGAUCCAGGCAGCCUUCCUGGAACCGAGACUUCUGGUGGUUACAGAUCCCAGGGCUGACCACUAGCCUCUCACAGAGGCAUCUUAUGUUAACCUGCCUACCAUCGCUCAUGUAACACAAACUCUCCUAUGUGCUAUAUAGACAUUGCUAUCGCUUACAACAAGAGAGCUCACUCAGUGGGUCUGAUGUGGUGGAUGCUGGCCUGGGAAGUUCUGCGCGUCUGUGGCACCAUCAGGUCCUACCUGUCUCUUCUUCUACAGAGAUCUUGAAGAGAUUGAAAAGGAAGAACAGCUUCCUGAGUUCACUGCUACUCAACCUGAAGUUGCAGACUGAACUGAAGGUGUGCAGGUGCCCUCUAUGCCUAUUCAGCAGUCCUCUACUGAAGACCAGAGUGCUCAGCCUGCCAGUGAAGACUGUUCUGCAGCUCCCACUGCUGAGACCACUGAAUGGAUAGGAACAACACCGAGUGGUCUUAAGCUGCUUUUCUACAACGGCAAACAAAAUGGAAUAGGGUUGAUGGAAAUGAAACAGUUUCUUAAAAAAAAAAAACCCACAAAACUUCUGGUCUUUCUAUUCUCAAACUUUCAUUAACAGUCUGGUGUUG